AUUGAACGCUGGCGGCAUGCCUAACACAUGCAAGUCGAACGGUAACAGGCCCUUCGGGGUGCUGACGAGUGGCGGAUGGGUGAGUAAUACUUAGGAAUCUACCCUGUAGUGGGGGACAACCCGGGGAAACUCGGGCUAAUACCGCAUACGCUCUACGGAGGAAAGCGGGGGACCGCAAGGCCUCGCGCUAUUGGAUGAGCCUAAGCCCGAUUAGCUAGUUGGUGGGGUAAUAGCCUACCAAGGCAAUGAUCGGUAGCUGGUCUGAGAGGACGACCAGCCACACU
rnacentral:rRNA from 1 species